rnacentral:tRNA from 1 species
GGGCGGGUAGCUCAGUGGCAGAGCAUCACGUUUACACCGUGAAGGUCGUGGGUUCAAAUCCCACCCCGCCCA